UGGUCAAAUCGUAGCCAAUUCAAAAGCUCACAUGGCUAAGGUAGUAUUGAAGGAACACUUGGUUCUAACUUUGUUUAGAGAUGAGUAUGAUCUAUUACAUGAAGAUUAUCAGCUUUAUCUUCUUCCAAGCAUUUUGGAAUCCAAAAAGUUAGCUAAAUCUGGACGAGCGAAACAAAAGUAUGUAGAUUUGGAAUAUAAUGUGGCAAAACAAGUUGAGAAGAUGAUAAGGAAUUUUUAUAAUUGAAAGGGAAUGCUCAUUACACGCAAUGGAGUAUGAAGAAGAGUUGUCUGUCAUUAAUUCUCA